rnacentral:ncRNA from 1 species
UGCCCUCAACUCAGGCGAGACUACCUGCCAAACUUAAGCAUAUCGCUAAGCGGAGGAAAAGAAACCAACCAGGAUUCCCUAUGUAACGACGAGUGAACCGGGAGAAGCCCAAUGCCAAAUCUUGUCGUCCGUGCCAGAAGUCGAGAGCUAUGGCGCAAGGGUCGAAUCUUUCUCAUAGGCACAGGAGUGGCUGUGUGGUAAGUAGCUUGCUUACCAACCACACGGUUCCAGGUUCAGUCCCACUGCGUGGCACCUUGGGCAAGUGUCUUCUACUAUAGCCUC